rnacentral:rRNA from 1 species
AGAACGAACGCUGGCGGCAGGCUUAACACAUGCAAGUCGAACGCGUGUAGCAAUACACGAGUGGCGCACGGGUGAGUAACGCGUGGAUAUCUGCCUUUUGGUUCGGAAUAACCCCGGGAAACUGGGGCUAAUACCGGAUGGUUCCUACGGGAUAAAGAUUUAUCGCCAAAAGAUGAGUCCGCGUCCGAUUAGCUAGUUGGUGGGGUAAUGGCCUACCAAGGCGACGAUCGGUAGCUGGUCUGAGAGGACGAUCAGCCACACUGGGACUGAGACACGGCCCAGACUCCUACGGGAGGCAGCAGUGGGGAAUAUUGGACAAUGGGGGCAACCCUGAUCCAGCCAUGCCGCGUGAGUGAUGAAGGCCUUCGGGUUGUAAAGCUCUUUUGGCGGGGACGAUGAUGACGGUACUCGCAGAAUAAGCCCCGGCUAACUUCGUGCCAGCAGCCGC